UCUUCACAUAUGGAAAGGUUAAGAAGAGCAGUAACAGCAUGCUCUUGGAUGCGAGAGUCAGGUGUUGACAGGAGGCCCACAAGGAGAGGGAUUGCACCAGCUUCAGCAAUAGCCACACGAUUAUCUGCAUUCCGCUUAGCAAGAAGGCGGAUCUCACCUGCAGCAGAUCGCUGGUCUUCAGGGCUACCCGAUGUGAGUUUGUGAAGGAGAAUUUCAAUCUUUGUAAGCUCAGCAGGUGAGUAGGCAGAUGUGGUUUUGUUGCAUCGUGAACUGCUGGGUCGUUUUGGUGGUUCAAUCCCAUUUGCUUCACACCACUGGGCUAUGAG
rnacentral:misc_RNA from 1 species